rnacentral:misc_RNA from 1 species
GAAAUGCGAUAAGUAAUGUGAAUUGCAGAAUUCAUUGAAUCAUCGAAUCUUUGAACGCACCUUGCGCUCCUUGGUAUUCCGAGGAGCAUGCCUGUUUGAGUGUCAUGGAAUUCUCAACUCUAUUUGCUUUUGUGAAUAGAGCUUGGAUUUGGAGGUUUAUUGCUGGUACUUGUGAUCGGCUCCUCUUGAAUGCAUUAGCUCGAACCUUUGCGGAUCAGCUAUCGGUGUGAUAAUUGUCUACGCCGUUGCAGUGAAGCAUAUCAAUGGGCUCGGCUUCCAAUCGUCCUUUACUGGACAAUGACUUUGACCUUUGACCUCAAAUCAGGUAGGAUUACCCGCUGAACUUAAGC